CAGCGUAUUUCCAAGGGCUGUGGCUGGUUGUAACCAUUGGCUCACCAACUGCACACGAGAACAAUCUGGAGAGUCUUUGCCAGCUCAUUUCAACAUAAUACCUGCAGCUACCACUCACCUUUCCUGUUCUA